rnacentral:lncRNA from 1 species
AGGUGGGUGACUCCAGCAAGCCCGCAGCUAAAAAAGGGCCGAGUGAAGCUCGACCACGUUCUCGAACUCCUUCCGGACACAAGCGUGUCCGAACUCCUCCCCGAGCUCGUAGGCAGAGAAGCCCGGACCGCAGAGUUCGGCGGAGCUCUCCCCCAGGAAGAUUCCACAGCUACGUCCCUCUCAAUGCUCCAAAAAUCCAAGUGUUGAUGGAGGUCAGGGAGCAGCUGCCA